UAAAUGUAACGCCGCGGAUACUCCAGUAAGUUUUACUUACGUAAGUAGCUUACAUUAUUAACUUACGACUUUAUUAAUGUACCUGAAUGCUUUUGAC